CCUACGGGAGGCAGCAGUGGGGAAUUUUCCGCAAUGGGCGAAAGCCUGACGGAGCAACGCCGCGUGAGGGAUGAAGGCCUCUGGGCUGUAAACCUCUUUUCUCAAGGAAGAAGAUCUGACGGUACUUGAGGAAUAAGCCACGGCUAAUUCCGUGCCAGCAGCCGCGGUAAUACGGGAGUGGCAAGCGUUAUCCGGAAUUAUUGGGCGUAAAGCGUCCGCAGGCGGCCCUUCAAGUCUGCUGUUAAAAAGUGGAGCUUAACUCCAUCGUGGCAGUGGAAACUGUUGGGCUAGAGUGUGGUAGGGGCAGAGGGAAUUCCCGGUGUAGCGGUGAAAUGCGUAGAUAUCGGGAAGAACACCAGUGGCGAAGGCGCUCUGCUGGGCCAUAACUGACGCUCAUGGACGAAAGCCAGGGGAGCGAAAGGGAUUAGAUACCCCUGUAGUCCUGGCCGUAAACGAUGAACACUAGGUGUCGGGGGAAUCGACCCCCUCGGUGUCGUAGCCAACGCGUUAAGUGUUCCGCCUGGGGAGUACGCACGCAAGUGUGAAACUCAAAGGAAUUGACGGA
rnacentral:rRNA from 1 species